UACGUGGUUACAGAGAGUUUUAGAUACUCUUGUCUACAAGGAUCCUAUUUUGCCACCCUGAGCGACGAUGGAACACCUUGGUGGUGAGUAGUGUGUUUUAUUGUUGAUUACGUGUUUUAGUAAAACAAGCAUUAUACUUACAAGUAUAUAUUCAUUAAGGUUUCUCAACGAUAUGACAGUCCAGAGGGGGGUUAACCAUCUAAAGCAUCGAUGAGAAAGCGACUGCAGACAGGAUCCUAAAGAUGGUGGAAGGCUAACUACAAAAAGCGUGGAAACAGGCCUGCAGACCGAGCUAAGAAACCUUCAAGAAAUACAAAAACAACUCCCAACAAGCAUUGAGUGGCUUACCACAACCCUCAACAAGUAAGCCGUCCUUGGAUGGGCUGUGGUAUCCAUCAGAAGGCCCCGCGGUGUUUAAACCUCCAAUAAAAAGGCCCGCGUUAGCUCCCACCCGUCAGGACACCAGGGGAGUUUCCUCCCAAACAGGCACGAGGUGAUAAACACAUGCAAAAGGUUAAACACACAAAAGGUUAAAAGACAGCCUUUGGCGGCGUGGACUACACCGAAUGAAGAGCCGGAACUUUUUACCUCAAGAUACGACGACCUAAUAAGCGAUGAGGAAUUAAUACGCCGUGUUGAGGACCUCGAAUCGGACCUGAGAGGAGGCGAGACCAGAAGGCUGUAGGUGAGCAGAGAGAGGACGCUGCGCUGGUUGUACUGAAUGCCGAAGAGAAUGACCGACAUGGCAAGUUGUUAAAGGAGAUCCGGGAUUUGCGCCACACCACCCAGAAUUUAACAGCAUUCGUGACCAAACUCUGUAAAUCGCAGGACGAGACCAAGCAAACCAUAAAACAUAAUAUGGCAGUAUAAGAGAAAGCCGGUACGACUAUCAUAGACCUGCAAUUAAAUGAAUUAAGAAAUAAGAAUUUACAUCUAAAACUAAAUACUAAAAUUAAUAAACUAAAAACAUUAAACUUGAAAAAAAAGUUUUCUCCCAUCCUGCGAAUCAAUAUUGUCACUCCCCCUGUGACAUCAUCGAUGGAAGCGGCUUUGAUAUAGACACUGUGACAUCAUCGAUGGAAGCGGC
ensembl:lncRNA